CAGCAGCCGCGGUAAAACGAGGGGGGCAAGCGUUGUUCGGAAUUAUUGGGCGUAAAGGGUGCGUAGGCGGUUUGGCAAGUCUUAUGUGAAAUCUUCGGGCUCAACCCGAAGUCUGCAUGAGAAACUGUUGAGCUUGAGUAUGGGAGAGGUGAGUGGAAUUUCCGGUGUAGCGGUGAAAUGCGUAGAUAUCGGAAGGAACACCUGUGGCGAAAGCGGCUCACUGGACCAUAACUGACGCUGAGGCACGAAAGCUAGGGGAGCAAACAGGAUUAGAUACCCGCGUAGUCCCUGUCUCUUAUAC
rnacentral:rRNA from 1 species